GUGCUCACUUCAUUAGCACACAUACUAAAAAUUGGAAUGAUACAGAAAAUAUUAGCAUGGCCCCUGUGCAAGCAUGACAUGAAAUUCAUGAAACAUUCCAUAUUUUU
ensembl:snRNA U6 U6 spliceosomal RNA